AAUUUUUCUUUCACAGGUGGUAUAAGCCUGUUUCUCGGACAAAUAUAUAUAUAAAUAAGUUAUUCUUAACUUUGAACAUUAAUAGGUUAAUUGGCUAAUUCAGUGGGCAUCUGGGUAUAAAACAAAUGGACUGUACCUGGAUUUCCAGUUUACCGCCGAAACGCCGGAAAGAAACAAUCAGUAUUUCACUUCAAAUUUAAGGGGAUACAGAAGAGGUGUAUGGGGACGAAAAAAAAAAAUAAAUUCCUCUAAUAAUAAUUUUUACGAUAUUUCUCACAUAGGAUAGACAUACAUAGUUCAACGUGAUAAAUUAUUUCUUACUUUGACGUCGUGCUGCAUGUCGUUGGUAAAAUGUUUCUGAAAACUUUAUUUUGUAUAUUUUUGCUUUUUGAAAUAUCUUACGGGGAAUUCAUUCAAAAUUAUUUUGAAAAGAAAACGGGACAAUUCAUUGCCGUGAUAAUAAAAAGUGUUACUACAAGGAAUGAAAUGGACUGUUUGGUUCAGUGUAUGGACGGUUCGUGCACACUUGCAGAGUAUAAUAGUGGUUCAAGGUUAUGCCGGCUAGGAGAAGGAGGCGACGCUAAUCUAAAUCAAACCUCUGAUUCAAAUGUAGUAGUUUUCAAAGUUUCAAAUGUCGUUGAUGAAUGUACGAGUUAGGUGUGUCAAAAUGGCGGAACGUAUGUUGACCUGCUAAAUGGAUAUUCGUGCAAUUGUCCAGAAGGAACUGUCGGAUUAAACUGCGAGCAAGACAUCGAUGAAUGCGCGAGUUUUCCUUGUCAAAAUGGUGGAACGUGUGUUGACAUGCUUAAUGGAUAUUCGUGCAAUUGUUCAGAAGGAACUGGCGGAUUAAACUGUGAGCAAG